GACGUAGGGCGCGAGCGUUGUCCGGAUUUAUUGGGCGUAAAGAGCUCGUAGGCGGUUUGUCGCGUCGUUCGUGAAAACUCACAGCUUAACUGUGAGCUUGCGGUCGAUACGGGCAGGCUAGAGUUCGGUAGGGGAGACUGGAAUUCCUGGUGUAGCGGUGAAAUGCGCAGAUAUCAGGAGGAACACCGGUGGCGAAGGCGGGUCUCUGGGCCGAUACUGACGCUGAGGAGCGAAAGCGUGGGGAGCGAACAGU
rnacentral:rRNA from 1 species